GAAAAAGGAAAUUUCUUUAUAUGUUGGAUUUAAAGAAUAUAGUACUGACAUAAUAAGGUCUCCUUACAAGUUUGAGUUCAAAUCAAAUGACCUGUUAUAUCUCAAAUAAAUGUAAUUCUAACUAAAUCAUAAAAGAUAUAAUAAUUUUAACAUGGAACUAUGUCAAAUUCACUCCUAAUCUGAAUGAAUUCCCUUAAAUUCUAGACUAAAUUCUGCAACAAGGCUUUAUGAAUCCAUCUUUUCCCAAGCCAAGUAUUCCUUGCAAAACAUUGAUCUACAUCCUUCAGAAGUUCUGCAAAGAAUCAUAUAAAAGGAGAAUUACAACUAUGUAAUAAAACUGAAAAAUACCAUAUGUGUUGCAUGUUUUACCAAACUUACUCAUUUCUUUUUCUUCGUCCCAAGUUUAUUAGUUUCGUUCUUCUUAAUUUUGUUUACCUAAGAAAAAAAUAUUAGAAAGGUGACUUUGAUAGUUUAUAGAAUUCAAUAUUGAGUGUAGAUUACAAGAUACAAUCAACAAGAAAAAGCCUAGAUAGCCCCAGAAUGUCGUACACUUCUACAAAAAUAGUAUAAGAACUUUAAAUUACAAGCAAAAGUUUAGAGGCAACAUUGAUAGCACCUUUAUACUAGAUUUCCUUCUGUGACAACAUUGUAAAAGUUCUUUUGAACUAUAAGCUUCACUAUUCACAAAUCACAAAGAUACCAUCCAGUAUAGACCCAUCAAUUCUCAAAAUGCUAACAAACAAGUGAACAUCAAUUAAAAAAGUAGCUACAAUUAAGCAUGCUUAAACCAACGAAUGACAGAACUUUCACCAAACCAAACCAAAGCUGAAGAGGAAAAAUUAUAAAGAAAUAAGCCAGGCCAAAAUUAUCUUACUUAUAACUCUCAUAUCUGAAAAAAUUAAUAACCAGAAAGAAUUGAGUUUCACAAAUUUAUAAGAUAAUCUCAAAUCUCCAAACAUUAGAACAGAUAAAAAUAAAUACAAUGAAUCUGAUGAUUUAAGACUGGAUUUAUUGCAUUUGUCUAAAUACUAAACCGAAGAGAAAUAAAGGAAUGGUGGAGGUGAGUAGGAAAGGUAGUUUUUCCCUAAAUGCAUUCUAAGCGAAGUAUAAAACUACUGUCCGAAAUAAGUUUGCACUACAGCUCAAACAGGUUGCAUCCACACUACGAAAUUUGCUACAUAUUAAAAUAUAUCAACAAAUAAAAUCCCACAUAUUCUGCUUAAAACUAAGAUCACAACACCUGGGCAAUUAAACUCACAGCUAGUAUAUAAUGCUCAAACCCACCUUAUUUGUGUGAACAAUAGAAAUUGGUAAUAAUGACUGCUGGCGAUCUUCAAUUGAUUUAUUGAAAACCUAUUACAAGAGAAGAUUAUUAUAAUUAAAAGAAAAAUUAGCAACAAUAACUUAAAGAGAAAAAGGUUUGUGAAUGAGUAUAAAAUUAUUUACCUGCUCAUUACUGAUCGAUUUACUAUUUUGAGUCAAUUGUAACACCCAUACUCUGCUUGUUGGCCCGUUUUGAGGUGGUUAGGCAUUGUUGUACCUCCCAUUUGUUGUUCUUGUUGCUCCGAAGAAUUGGAAAGAGACCACCUUGACUAGAAUCUCUUGUGUCUAUUUCUUGCCAUCCCAAUGAAAUUGUUCAAAAACUAUGAUUCCUGCCAAAUUGAAAAAUAAUUUCUACUGUCUAAGAGUAUGAAAUAAUAUCUAACUACCAAGUCAAAAUAAGACAUGUAAUCUUCAUCAAAUACUUCAAUACUUUCUAGAGUUUGUGGGUCAAUUUCUGUUCCAGACACUCCUUUCCUAACCCAUUCAAUAUCUUUUUACUUUCAAAUGUAGUAUCAUCUAGUCGUUGCUCAUGCCACACUUUCAUAUGGCCUUCCAUAUGCCCAGUUGCUUGUGUAUUUUCACCUAAAUUAGAAAAAUCUUUUGGCUUAAGUUUAUUAACAAUUGACACUCAUUUACCAUUGGAUGAUGGAUAUAAAACACAUGUUGAACCUGAGAAGCAAAGAUGAAAAAGGUUGAUUUGACAGUUGAUGCCUUGUGUAGAGUAGAUAACUAAAUUCACUAGAGUAAAUCCAUAAUCAUCUAACAAUUAAAAUGAGAUCAUAUUAAUCCAAUCCUUUUCAAAUAGCACCAUAUUUUUCUAUACAGGUAGUUCAAAUAGUAGAGACAUACUUUGCAAACAACCUUAAAGAGCCUGAAUAACUUGGAAAGGAGAAACCUAGUAAGUACUUCAGAACAAAAAAAUACUUUCUUUUAACUAUCACAUUACAGAAAAUAGAUUUACAUAGUAUUAGAUUAAAUAGAAGAUAGAAAAUAACAUGUGAAAGCCUCACCAAGAGUCUGAACGCUAUAUCAAUGUUCUUCCAAUAGCUUGCCUCCCUUUCCAUGCUUCUUCAAUCUCCAAGUAUAUGUGAUUAAAUUACCAAAGCGUAAUGCAAAAUUAGGUUGUCUGAAGAAUUCUAAUUAAUAAAAGAAACUGUAAUUUCAGAAUUAGUAGGAGGGAAGCUGAAAGUUCUUACCGCCAAAAUUUUUUCCUUCUAAAUCUCUGAUACUCUCCAAACAUAGCUUUUUUCGAGACCGCAAUCUGUAGUGGGAGANN
rnacentral:lncRNA from 1 species